rnacentral:rRNA from 1 species
AACGUAGGAGACAAGCGUUAUCCGAAUUUACUGGGCGUAAAGCGCGUGCAGGUGGUUGGGUAAGUUGAAUGUGAAAUCUCCUGGCUCAACUAGGAGAGGCUGUUCAAGACUGCCUGGCUAGAGGGCGGUAGAGGGAGGUGGAAUUCCCGGUGUAGUGGUGAAAUGCGUAGAUAUCGGGAGGAACACCUGUGGCGAAAGCGGCCUCCUGGACCGUACCUGACGCUCAGACGCGAAAGCUAGGGGAGUGAACGGG